GGGGCGAAGUCAACUGAUGUCACGCUUCCAAGAAAUGCUUCUAGGGUUAAUUUAGUAAGUGCCCGUACCGAUAACCGACACAGGUAGGCGAGGAGAGAAUCCUAAGAUGAGCGAGAGAACUCUUGUUAAGGAACUCGGCAAAAUGACCCCGUAACUUCGGGAGAAGGGGUGCUUGUGGAAGCAAGCCGCAGUGAAUAGGCCCAGGCGACUGUUUAUCAAAAACACAGGUCUCUGCUAAACCGCAAGGUGACGUAUAGGGGCUGACGCCUGCCCGGUGCUGGAAGGUUAAGAGGAGAGGUUAGCGCAAGCGAAGCUUUGAAUUGAAGCCCCAGUAAACGGCGGCCGUAACGAUAACGGUCCUAAGGUAGCGAAAUUCCUUGUCGGGUAAGUUCCGACCCGCACGAAAGGCGUAACGAUCUGGGCGCUGUCUCAACAAGAGACUCGGUGAAAUCAUAGUACCUGUGAAGAUGCAGGUUACCCGCGACAGGACGGAAAGACCCCGUGGAGCUUUACUGUAGCUUGAUAUUGAGCACUGGUGACACAUGUACAGGAUAGGUAGGAGACGAAGAAGCCAGGAUGCCAGCCUUGGUGGAGUCGCUGUUGGGAUACUACCCUUGUGUUACUGGGGUUCUAACCCGUGGCCAUGAUCUGGUCAGGGAACAGUGUCAGGUGGGCAGUUUGACUGGGGCGGUCGCCUCCCAAAGAGUAACGGAGGCGCCCAAAGGUUCCCUCAGAAUGGUUGGAAAUCAUUCGAAGAGUGUAAAGGCAGAAGGGAGCUUGACUGCGAGACCUACAAGUCGAGCAGGGACGAAAGUCGGGCUUAGUGAUCCGGCGGUACCGAAUGGAAGGGCCGUCGCUCAACGGAUAAAAGCUACCCCGGGGAUAACAGGCUGAUCUCCCCCAAGAGUUCACAUCGACGGGGAGGUUUGGCACCUCGAUGUCGGCUCAUCGCAUCCUGGGGCUGUAGUCGGUCCCAAGGGUUGGGCUGUUCGCCCAUUAAAGCGGUACGCGAGCUGGGUUCAGAACGUCGUGAGACAGUUGUCCCUAUCCGUCGUGGGCGUAGGAAAUUUGAGAGGAGCUGUCCUUGGUACGAGAGGACCGGGAUGGACACACCGCUGGUGUACCAGUUGUUCUGCCAGGAGCAUAGCUGGGUAGCUACGUGUGGACGGGAUAAACGCUGAAAGCAUCUAAGCGUGAAGCCCCCCUCAAGAUGAGAUUUCCCAUUCGAAAGAAGUAAGAUCCCUUGAAGACGACAAGGUAGAUAGGUCAGAAGUGGAAGUGUGGUGACACAUGGAGCGGACUGAUACUAAUCGAUCGAGGACUUAACCGA
rnacentral:rRNA from 1 species